GUUUACAAUAGCAUCCAGCUGCAGAGCAGUCUGCUGGCAAGAGCCUGGACAGGCCCUAGAGAACGAAGAGGACGAAGAUGACAAGCAGCUUUGAAUUCCUUCUGUUUUCAUGUUGAGCAGCAGCUGCUGCUAGAGCCUGGUAUGUCUGAGAUGAUUCCCACUCAUCACUGACUCUCUUGGGUGAGAGGAAGCGCCACACUCAUCCCUAGAAGAGUAUGAAGAAAAAGUGGAGGAAGCUGGAACUAAGUUCAAUGCAGCUCAACAGCUAUGAGAAGUAUGCCGCUGUGGGAUGUUCAGAGUGGAGGAGGCCACACAUGUGCAGUGAUUCAGAAUUGAGAGCAUCAUUCUGUCCGUGGGAGCUCUCUGCUCAAAGGUUCUUGAGAGCCUCCAGGGUGAAGCAAGGCAUGGAAAGAGAUGUGCUUCACCCACUGAGGCCUCUACAAAAGCUGCAAAUAAUUCUUCCUAGAAAGUAACUCCCCGGCAGUGAAAACUUAGUUUAAGGUACAAUGAUGGAUGAAUAUAGGAUCAAAUAUUUAUCUUUAAUUAAACAUAUUCAUGGCCACACACA
rnacentral:lncRNA from 1 species